rnacentral:tRNA from 1 species
UUCCUGAUGGUGCAGUGGUUAGGACUCUAUGCUCUCAUUGCUGAGGGCCUGGGUUCAAUUCCUGGUCAGGGAA